AACGAACGCUGGCGGCGUGGAUUACGCAUGCAGGUCGAACGGCAUCCGGAAGGUAGCACUCCCUGCCGGGGAGCGUGUCGGAAGGGCGAGGAGCACGUGGACAACCUGUCCCUUUGGUGGGGAUACCGUCCCGAAAGGGUCGGUAAUACCGAAUUGGGCCCCGGACCGCAUGGUCCGGCGUCCAAAGGCGUGGCCCGCAAGGCCCGCCCCCCCGCGAGGGGUCCGCGCACCAUGAGCUAGACGGCGGGGUAACGGCCCACCGAGGCGUACGGGUAGCUGGUCUGAGAGGACGACCAGCCGCACUGGGACUGAGACACUGCCCAGACUCCUACGGGAGGCUGCAGUCGGGAAUAAUGGGCAAUGGGCGAAAGCCUGACGAUGCGACGCCGCGUGGGGGAAGAAGGCCCUCGGGUCGUAAACUCCUGUUAUGGGGGGCGAGGCGGAGGAGGUUAACGGCCGGCUGAGUUGACGGUACCCAAAGAGGAAGCAACGGCUAACUCCGUG
rnacentral:rRNA from 1 species